rnacentral:rRNA from 1 species
AGGGUGUAAACGCUGCAGACUUGGUGUUGGGAACCCUUCGGGGGUGCUCAGUGCCGGAGAGAAGUUGUUAAGUCUGCUACUUGGGGAGUACGUCCGCAAGGAUGAAACUUAAAGGAAUUGGCGGGGGAGCACCGCAACGGGAGGAGCGUGCGGUUUAAUUGGAUUCAACGCCGAAAAACUCACCAGCAGCGACUGUUACAUGAAAGUCAGGUUGAUGACCUUGCCUGAAUCGCUGAGAGGUGGUGCAUGGCGUAGACGUCU